CUCUUGGACUGCUAUAUAAACUAGAGUAGCUUAGGCAAAAUAGGGUGGGAUGAAUAGAGAA
rnacentral:ncRNA from 1 species